GGCACUGUGGCGGAGUGGUUAACGCGACAGAUUCGAAUGACGAUGUCUAAUAUAAGUCUGAUCUGUUCCUCUUGUAGGGCGCAUGUUCGAAUCAUGCCAGUGUCG